rnacentral:rRNA from 1 species
GAUGAACGCUGGCGGCGUGCCUAAUACAUGCAAGUCGAGCGAACAGAUGAGGAGCUUGCUCCUCUGACGUUAGCGGCGGACGGGUGAGUAACACGUGGAUAACCUACCUAUAAGACUGCGAUAACUUCGGGAAACCGGAGCUAAUACCGGAUAAUAUAUUGAACCGCAUGGUUCAAUAGUGAAAGACGGUUUUGCUGUCACUUAUAGAUGGAUCCGCGCCGCAUUAGCUAGUUGGUAAGGUAACGGCUUACCAAGGCGACGAUGCGUAGCCGACCUGAGAGGGUGAUCGGCCACACUGGAACUGAGACACGGUCCAGACUCCUACGGGAGGCAGCAGUAGGGAAUCUUCCGCAAUGGGCGAAAGCCUGACGGAGCAACGCCGCGUGAGUGAUGAAGGUCUUCGGAUCGUAAAACUCUGUUAUUAGGGAAGAACAAAUGUGUAAGUAACUAUGCACGUCUUGACGGUACCUAAUCAGAAAGCCACGGCUAACUACGUG